UGACUCUCGGCAAUGGAUAUCUUGGCUCUUGCAUCGAUGAAGAGCGCAGCGAAAUGCGAUACGUGGUGUGAAUUGCAGAAUCCCGUGAACCAUCGAGUUUUUGAACGCAAGUUGCGCCCGAGGCCAAUUGGUUGAGGGCACGUCCGCCUGGGCGUCAUG
rnacentral:rRNA from 1 species